GGUCUCCUUACUUCUGUUGGUAGGUGCUCAGGGUGAUGUGGGUUGAGUGGUUGCCACACUUCAAAGUCUCAGCCUGAUGGAUUGUGCCUCUUGGGAAAUACAGCAGGUCACCAGUCUGGAGAAAAUAAUGGAGCAGCGGAUGGACAAGUGAAGUACCUUAAGGGUAAAUUCAUGAGUUGGUUUCCCAAUGGAAUCCUCCUCUAAGUCAGCACUGUAGUCCAAAGCCAGCUCAACAAGAGGGCUGUACAAUUUCCAGUUCUUCUCCCCUUCCAGUUGAAGUAUGAAUACCUAUAAAGCACAAGAUUUUAUAUCUCACUGCAAAAAGCUAAUGCCUGGAUAAUUAAACAGAAUAUAUUUCAUUUUACCAAUAGAAAUUAUAGGUUAUAGAAAGGUCUUUAGGCUCUAUUGCCAGCUAUUUGUUAGCCAGCAGUACGUGAGAAUCUGCAAUUCAUUUAUAUUUUGAGAGAUUAUUCAUAACAUUCAAUCAAGUGAGCUACAGGCGCGUACACAGGGGGGUGCGCAGGGGGCGCACGCACCCCCCUUGGCAUUUCUUAUUAAGAAAUCUUCAAAUACUAGGCCUUUUCAAUAUGUUACCUAUGACUGCGCACCCCCCUCAGCCAAUCCUGGGUACGCACCUGAGCCACUGGGCAUAUCCAAGCUGACAAAGAUAAUUUACCUCCACAUCAUCAUGGUGUGGUGCAAGUCCCUGUGCGUUGGGUGGAGUUAUGUAGACAUUAGCACCAACAAGGCACCCAAAGAACCUUUCAAGAUUACCAUUCAGUUGCCACAGGGUGUCCUGCGGAAAAUAAGACAUGAAUAGAACACACUUUUUGAAGCUUACUUAGACUGUGUUUCAUAUUUUGCAUAAUAAAUGAAAAUUAUUAAAAAAAAUUCAAGGAGAGGGGGUAAAAAAACCUCAGUGCUUGAGCAAAAAAGGGUUCAUUUUGGUACACGCCCUGUAAAAGAAUGUGUACCUAUUAAUUAAUAGUAGAUAGGAUAAACUAAAAGAGAUUAAAACUCCAGGAGAUUUUAAAAAUUGACACAACUAAGAAACACGUGAUAAAAGGUUAGAAUUUCGCCUUGGCCCAAUAUGGAAUGGGUGGGGUUAAGGGGGUAUAAGAAAUGGGGUACAAAGUAGGUAAUUAAUUUCAAUAUCAUCUAAGGUUUUUUGCUUCUAGUAAUGGCUUACUAUAUUCAUUUAAACAAAGAAAAUAGAAAUAAAGUAAAUAGUGCAUGCAAAAGAAGAAUUAAAAGUGAACAAUUUUGA